CUACAAUCUACAUAGCUCUUGCAGAUGCUCUAAGCUGUAUAUCCCUUUCAGCACUUGAAUACUAUUCGCAGGCGUGAUCGUCCUCGCUCAAUAAGUCUCUCUUAGUGAAAACCCCCGUAAUUUGAUUCAACCCUAUUUUUGGAAUCAACUUUGCUAAAUCCUGACGCGUACUUAGGUCGAUGGCUGGUUUAAUUUUUGAUUCUCUGUUUGUUCGUUCGAUCAAUUGAUCGAUUGAAUAGGGUUUCGAAGCUUUUUUUGUGUUUCGAAAUCUCCAUGUCAAACCCAUCAAGGUCUCAUGUCAGUAUAACCCUAGGGCGCGGUGCGCAGGUAAUUAAUAUUCAGUACUUUUUUGUACUUUUACCUUUUAUUUAUCUGGCCAAUGUAAAAGGAUUUCUUUAUUUUCUUAUUGGAAGGACUAUUAUGUGCUAUUAUAUGUAUUGAAAUUACUAUUAGGUUGUAAAUGCGUUGUUGAUGAACAAAUGAAACGGAUAAUGCUGGUGUUUUUCAUGUAAAUUUGGCAAUUGAGAAACAAAUUUUUUUUUUCAAUUGGAAUGGACUAUUAUGUGCUAUUAUAGUAUUUAUAUAUGUAUAUUUAUAUGGUGAUUGAAGAUCAAAUAAGGUGGAGAAAAGGAUAAAACUGGUGUUUCUUGAUUUAGCAAUCUUGGAUUUAUUUAGGGCUGUUUUCAUUUAUACUAAAUUUAGUUACUUGGACGGUAUGGAAAGGGGUAAUCGAAGAGUUUACACUCUAAAGCUUUACACACAUAAGUAGUUCUGUACAUAUAUUGAUAUUUUGGUUUCUGCAGCUGGUGAAACGGUCAGGGCUUAUGGUGGAUAGUUCUUUUGCUGAUUCACAGCCAGCCGUUGGAAGCAAACGAUCCGUUAGAGAUAGGCUGGGAAGUAAUGUGGAUUUAUCUCUUCAAGUCAAC
rnacentral:lncRNA from 1 species